rnacentral:rRNA from 1 species
UACGUAGGUGGCGAGCGUUGUCCGGAUUUACUGGGCGUAAAGAGCGCGCAGGCGGUCGUUCAAGUCGCGUGUGAAAGCCCCCCGGCUCAACUGGGGAGGGUCACGCGAUACUGAUCGACUCGAAGGCAGGAGAGGGAAGUGGAAUUCCCGGUGUAGUGGUGAAAUGCGUAGAUAUCGGGAGGAACACCAGUGGCGAAGGCGACUUCCUGGCCUGUUCUUGACGCUGAGGCGCGAAAGCUAGGGGAGCAACGGG